rnacentral:misc_RNA from 1 species
UUGGAAACUUGUUCAUGGGGAUGUGUUUCGACCUCCUCAUUAUCUAGCGCUAAUUUCAGCUCUUGUUGGUACUGGGGCACAACUGGCAUUGCUUGUCCUCCUUGUCAUACUGUUGGCAAUUGUGGGGAUGUUGUAUGUUGGGAGAGGAUCCAUUGUUACAACUUUUAUUGUAUGUUAUGCUUUGACAUCAUUCAUUUCGGGCUAUGUUAGUGGUGCAAUGUACUCACGGAAUGGUGGGAAAAGCUGGAUCAAGUCCAUGAUUCUGACAGCAUCGCUCUUUCCAUUUAUGUGCUUUGGAAUUGGUUUCGUUCUGAACACAAUCGCUAUAUUUUAUGGGUCUCUAGCAGCAAUUCCCUUUGGCACAAUGGUGGUUGUCUUUGUCAUCUGGGCAUUCAUUUCCUUCCCCUUGGCUCUUCUGGGUACAGUUGUUGGAAGAAACUGCAGUGGUGCUCCAAACAAUCCGUGCCGUGUCAAGACCAUUCCUCGCCCUAUACCUGUGAAAAAGUGGUACUUGACACCAUCUGUAAUCUCCUUGAUGGGUGGUCUGCUACCAUUUGGCAGCAUAUUUAUCGAGAUGUAUUUCGUCUUCACAUCCUUCUGGAAUUAC